rnacentral:rRNA from 1 species
GACGAACCAAGCGAACGUUAUUCGGAAUUACUGGGCUUAAAGCGCGUGUAGGCGGAUGACCACGUCAGUCGUUGAAAUCCCCCGGCUCAACCGGGGAACAGGCGCUGAUACGAGUUGUCUGGAGGUGGGUAGGGGAGACUGGAACUUCCGGUGGAGCGGUGAAAUGCGUUGAGAUCGGAAGGAACGCCCGCGGCGAAAGCGAGUCUCUGGACCCAUUCUGACGCUGAGACGCGAAAGCCAGGGGAGCAAACGGG